AGAUUUGUGGUGGGGUUCGAAUUGUGGGUGAAGCUUUCUUUGAAGCUUUGAGACUUGCGGCCCUUUUUUUGGGAGACCUAAGAGAAGAUUUUGCUCGACAAUCUUCUUCAAUCAAGGUUCUGAGUUUCUUUAGGUGGAGAGGACUUAUUUUGGGUGGUGUCCCUUGGUAAAGCAUCAUAUUCACUUCUUUUUAUA